GAUGAACGCUGGCGGCGUGCCUAAUACAUGCAAGUCGAGCGAACAGACGAGGAGCUUGCUCCUCUGAUGUUAGCGGCGGACGGGUGAGUAACACGUGGAUAACCUACCUAUAAGACUGGGAUAACUUCGGGAAACCGGAGCUAAUACCGGAUAAUAUAUUGAACCGCAUGGUUCAAUAGUGAAAGACGGUUUUGCUGUCACUUAUAGAUGGAUCCGCGCCGCAUUAGCUAGUUGGUAAGGUAACGGCUUACCAAGGCAACGAUGCGUAGCCGGCCUGAGAGGGUGAUCGGCCACACUGGAACUGAGACACGGUCCAGACUCCUACGGGAGGCAGCAGUAGGGAAUCUUCCGCAAUGGGCGAAAGCUUGACGGAGCAACGCCGCGUGAGUGAUGAAGGUCUUCGGAUCGUAAAACUCUGUUAUUAGGGAAGAACAAAUGUGUAAGUAACUAUGCACGUCUUGACGGUACCUAAUCAGAAAGCCACGGCUAACUACGUG
rnacentral:rRNA from 1 species